AGAUUGAACGCUGGCGGCAUGCCUAACACAUGCAAGUCGAACGGGAGUAGCAAUACUCUAGUGGCGGACGGGUGAGGAAUACGUAGGAAUUUGCCCUUAAGUGGGGGAUAACCCGGGGAAACCCGGAUUAAUACCGCAUGACCUCGAAAGAGCAAAGUGGAGGAUCGCAAGACCUCACGCUUUUGGAGAAGCCUACGUCGGAUUAGCUAGUUGGUGAGGUAAUGGCUCACCAAGGCGACGAUCCGUAACUGGUCUGAGAGGAUGAUCAGUCACACCGGAACUGAGACACGGUCCGGACUCCUACGGGAGGCAGCAGUGGGGAAUAUUGGACAAUGGGCGCAAGGCCUGAUCCAGCAAUGCCGCGUGUGUGAAGAAGGCCUUGGGUUGUAAAGCUACUUUAAGGUUGGAAAGAAAAACUCGACGUACUAACACGAGUGAGUCGUUGACGGUACGACAAGAAUAAGCACCGCUAACUC
rnacentral:rRNA from 1 species